rnacentral:rRNA from 1 species
GACGUAGGGCGCGAGCGUUGUCCGGAUUUAUUGGGCGUAAGGAGCUCGUAGGCGGCUUGUCGCGUCGACUGUGAAAACCCGUGGCUCAACCAUGUGGUCUGCAGUCGAUACGGGCAGGCUAGAAUUCGGUAGGGGAGACUGGAAUUCCUGGUGUAGCGGUGAAAUGCGCAGAUAUCAGGAGGAACACCGGUGGCGAAGGCGGGUCUCUGGGCCGUAACUGACGCUGAGGAGCGAAAGCGUGGGGAGCGAACAGG